UGAGGCACAGAAAGCCCAAGCUCUUGCACAAGGAUCAGAAGGGGGUAUAACCAGAAUUUGUUUCUCAGCAUCCUGACCAACAAUUAUUUUACCUACUAAACAGGGAAGCCUUUCAAAUAUAAUCCAGGGUAUCCGCUUCAUUUUACAACUAAAGAAAUGAAGGCUGGGUAAGGAUAAAGGACUCACAAAGAUCGUGUGUUUAGUUUCUGCUGGUCUAGACAUCUGGGUUCCAAAAGAAGAAUGCAUCUCCCAGGAGACAUGACAAUGAUUCCAUUCAACAGGAAGUUGAGACUGCCACCUGAACACUUUGGGCUCCUCAUGCCUCUGAAUCAACGGGCAAAGAAGAGAGUUAUAGAUCCUAACCACCCAGGAGAAAUUCGGUGGCCACUACACAAACAGACUUUUCUGACUCUGCGGCCAGGUGUUUGUAUUUAACUCCACGGUGAGGAGACUCAUCUUCUGACGGACCUAACCUAUACCAUCAAGCUCCAGCACCACAAGCAAAGACAAAAACCUUGCGGAAACUAUUUAACUAACUCCCACAAUUGCAUAAGUUCCAAGAUGUUGCUACAAAUCCAGAUAUCAUGGCCAUGUUCACAGCAAGAAUGAGAAAAAGGGGGCAGCUAUAUCUGUACUAAUUUACGAGGAAAGUCACCCCACUUCCUCCAAUAGACUUUCUUCUGAGCCUCACUAACCUCAACUGCGUCCCAAGAUCACCACUAGUUGCAAAGGCGAAUGUCAAAGCAGGAAAAAUAAUUCUCAUGUUGGGUUAUGUUAAUCAUUAUCUAUCUUCCUCCAUAAACCAAAGCAGGGUACUCUAAGCAAGGCAGAAGGAGCAAAUAGAUCCUGAGUGGGCAAAUAGUGGGAUCUGCUACACAGCAUAU
rnacentral:lncRNA from 1 species